UUCUUCCUGAGGCCGUACGCUGACCGCCGCUUCGUUCCCUGACCACUUAGAAUUCCUGCUGUCUUCUACAGUCUCCUGUCUUCUAAAACUACAACGCUUGCCGACAGAACUCCAGCGGAGUCCACCUUCUUGCCUUAUCUUUCCGUAAAGGUUGUUGAGAUAUGCCUCCUGGCCCACCACUUGGGACAGAUGAAACCCACCCCAUGCACCAGCUUUGCCUGGGGAGUCACUUCCUCACUCUGGGGCCUCCAGCCAGCUCUGAUGGGAGUCAUGUGAUCACUUUGGUGUGCAUGACAGCUCCCCAGAGUGAUGCUUUGAGGGGUGACCUUGCUGCCCAGGACAGAACCAGCUCCUUGCGAGCUUGCUGAUAAGCAGAGGCCCAGUUCCACGGUCUAAAGCUCUGACCACGCUGCGGAUCCCCAAACCUGCCUGUCUGGCACCUCCUCUCUCCUGAGGGUCCGGCCCAUAUCUGCAAACAGUUGUCCCACUGAUGCAUCACAUUCAGAAACGCAAAGCAGAACUGCCCGCCUCCUCCACACUCACGUCAGCCCCCACCCCAGGGAGCUGCUGUCCGCCUGGUCUCCCACGUGCCCCACACGUGUCUGCCUUUGACAGGCAGAAUGGACACCGACGGGGACUUCCCUAGCCAGCUGGCGAGAUGCUGGUGUUGCAUCCCCUCAGGACUGCGGGGAAAGAAUCCUGGCUUUGUACUGUGCAGCCGGGCCUGUGCCCACACCCCUUGCAAUCCAGUCAGCCAAUGGCUCCCCUCAGGAUGCUGAGUGGUCGUGCACGCCUGCCUGAGUGAUCAGGUGACUCCCCCUAGAGUUGGGAAGCAGCGAAGGAAGUGGGGAGGCCACUCCCCUGGGAGAGCUGGUAGAUGGCCUUGGUGAGGAGGGGGAGGGACAGAGAGAGGCUGUGGCAGCCGAGGUGGCUGAGGUGUGAGCCAAGUGCCAAAGUGAAAGGAAAUUUUAAAGCUUGAGUUUUUGGCUUUGAGGGGUGGCAAAACUCGGGAUGGAGGAGAGAAUGGGUAGCACAUUCUAGGCAGGGACACAGCCCUGAAAAGGAACAGAGGCAGGGUCAGGCAAAGCCCAUCCCUCACACAGGGUACGUGGGAUGUUCUGAGAACACAGCAAAGUGGGGGUGGGAGAAAAUGGCGGAGCCAGGUUGAGGAGGCUUGAAUCCAAAGUAUCCUUCCAGCUGGGCGGCCCCUUUCCUUCCUCUGAUCUCUCUUCCCAUUCCCUGGGACAGGACAAGUCCUGCCCCCACCCCCCAUUACCCCAAGGGGCUCCUGGAGUGGGAGUGUGGAGGCAGUAAGACACUUUCUGCAGGCUGAGACAGAGACCGUGGCAGGCAGAGGAUUGCGGAUCACCCAACGGGUCUCCCAGGGCAAGGUCUCCGCUCUCCAGGGGCAAGGAUGCCUGGGAGGUGGGAAAGCCAUGACAAAACGACAAAAGGAAAGGACCGUGAAAGCACAGCCAAGUAGAGGCAGUGGGGGGAUUUGAGAAGAAAAAUCCAUUUUGCUUCAUUAAGGAAUAAAGAACAG
rnacentral:lncRNA from 1 species